CAGGUACUCAUGAACAAUCCCACCAGGAGUAUACUUUUUUCAAUCUCCCGUGUGGACCUACGGGUUCCGAGA
rnacentral:snoRNA from 1 species